AUUGAACGCUGGCGGCAGGCCUAACACAUGCAAGUCGAGCGAGCGGCGGACGGGUGAGUAAUGUCUGGGAAACUGCAUGAUGGAGGGGGAUAACUACUGGAAACGGUAGCUAAUACCGCAUACACUCAGACGUGCCCAGAGAGGAUUAGCUAGUAGGGUGGGUAACGGCCCACCUAGGCGACGAUCCCUAGCUGGCUUGAGAGGACGACCAGCCACACGGGAACGGAGACACGGUCCAGACUCCUACGGGAGGCAGCAGUGGGGAAGAUUGCACAAUGGGCGAAAGCCUGAUGCAGCCAGGCCGCGUGUGUGAAGAAGGCCUUCGGGUUGUAAAGCACUUUAAGCUGGGAGGCGUUACCCGCAGAAGAAGCACCGGCUAACUCCGUGCCAGCAGCCGCGGUAAUUC
rnacentral:rRNA from 1 species